rnacentral:misc_RNA from 1 species
GUCACGUUCAACCCAGCUAAAUUGUAGGCCCCUAAUAAUUGAUUAAUUGAUAAGUUAUCCAUUAAAUAAACUUUGUUUUCUAAUAUAAAGCCGCCACCACAAAAUGGCCAAUAAAAAAUACACUGGCGCAAGAACCUGUCCAAAAUUUCAAGGUGUCUGCACAUACAAGUCUAUAAUGCUCUGCUUGACUUCCUGCCAAAAAUGAAAGAAUAUUUUAACCUUUACCAAGAAUGAAGAGCCAAUCAUACAUUAGAGACUCAUUCAACAGCCAUCUGUUGAUUUUAUGUCAAAUAGAAAUAAAUUAAUCCACGGACACAACAACUGCAAAUUCAAAAGCAACUUGACCAACCUUUUUAUCAAUCAAUUAAAGGGAGAGAGUAGAAGUAGAAGAGAACAUAGAGAUGGGUAAGAUCGGUUGCAGCGUUGAUGGAAACCUGAAUGAAUCAAAGUUCAGUGAGCCCCUUCCAUGGAUUGGCAUCUAUAUAGCAGUAGCAUCUCUCGCCUGUGCAAUUGUGAUGGCUGCAGAUCUCAUCCAUGGCUUCCGCUACCGAAAGUUGUGGUUUCCCAGCAAGUACUACUCCCUUAAUGCAACUUCAUUGACCAUAAUAACUGUGGCAAUCAAAUUUGCAGUGGAUCUAAACACCCCUAUGCCUCGCCGUAUUGAUCAGCUUGCAAAACUUAGCAGCAGUACCUUGAUCUGUACACUGAUGGGUAAUUCUAUGCCUUCUCUUGGAACCAUGGAAAACGAAGAAAUCUGGAUGAAUAUUAUAGCUCUUGGAAUACUUGUUAUUACUGUUAUUGCUAAUAUCUGCAUCCAAUUAGGCACUGGUGUGAUCUAUCUUUACUGGAAAGAGCAUGCAUUAAUCAUGUUUCUCAUGCUUGUUUUGCUUGUAAUCUUAAGCUUUUCUGCUUUAACAGUGCCAACUACAAAGAAAUAUUUAGAAUUUAAGUACAAGAAAAAAUAUGAAAUGGCUGUGGAAGAAUGCUCAAAUGGAUGUGACAGGGCAGUGGAAAAGAAACUGAGAGAAGAUCUAAUGAAAUACUGGAUGAUGGCUCAUACCUGCAGCCCCCAGUUUGUUAUAGGGCGUUCAGUUACAUGCACUGCUGCAGGUGCACUGUGUCUCCUGAGUGCCCUGACUUUAGCAGAGGCCAUGCUGAGAUCUUACUUGAUGAGGGGGUCAUUUAAAUUUUGCAAUGGGGAGUCUGACUAUAAAUGGUCGACCAUCUUGGUUCUUAUUUUACAGACCAUUGCAAUAGGAGUUGGUACAAUUGCUCCUGCUAUUAGAUGGUUCACUGCUGUAAAUUUCAGGUGCCCAACAAUAGGGAAGAAAAGCGGCAGGAAAGAAUUCAAAGUAGAAAAGUAUUGGACCCAGUUUUUAGUAGAGAUGAAAGAGUGCCCGUUUACCAUUCGAAUCCAGAACAGGCAGUGUAGGAAACUUGCACAUGGCGCAAAAGAUCAAAUUGUGGACCUGUGUAUUGGAAUGCAAAUUGGAAUCGUGUUGGCAAGCAAAGUUAUCAGAUUCAUUUCUGUGUACUUCAUGAGCAGGAUUUUGUUAUUCUGUCGUUGCUGCAAAAAGUUGAUGAACUGCAAUCCCAACAGAUCAAUUGACUCAGCAUCAGACUCACAGCCCAGCUCAAAACCGGAUCUUAGCCGAUUCGUUUUGCAUCUCGAAGGUGAGAAUGAACUAGUUGAACUGAUGAUGAAGAACAACUGUGAUGCUACUGAGCACUGGAUACAGCAUGGAAAAAAGAAACAGCCCAAACAUCUCAUUGAAUUGUUGGAAAAAUCAUCAUCAGCACUCCAUGGAGUGAGAGAAUUUGACAGUGACCUAGUUCUCUCUCUAGCUAAUGAAGAACCUCCACACUGUUGGGCUCUUCCUGUAGUGACUCUAACAGCCAUUGCAGUUGCAGUUCCAAACACCAGCAGUUGUUUACGUAAGCAGUUGAUGCGUAGUGUACAUGAAGGCCUCAUGUAUGUCAAACUCAUAGAAGACAACCUGCAUGCAGAAAGUGAUAUGGCUAACAUCAUGAAGGCAGCAUAUACUGUCUGGCUAGGAGUUGAUCUCUAUCAUAAAUGGCUAGAUGUGGAUCUUAAUAAAAUGUCCUUCCAAGCAGAGAGCACAAAGGAAGCACUUGAAGGACUUGCUGAUGCUGCAAAGUAUAGGUAUGUGGAAUUCAAAAAGACAUAUGUGAAUCAAUGCCUACUAAAAGAAAGCCCUUCAAAGUGGCCCAUCAAGGUAUUGGCUGCUAAUUCCAUGUAUAGAAUAAGCCAAACUAUUCUGCAGAAUUAUGAAAGAACCAACAUCCAGAGCAGUGAGAGAUUAUUUGAGGCACUAACUAUCAUGAUCUCAGAUAUAUUAGCUGCUUGUCUCACCAAUUUACAACGUAUCAUAUCCCUCAAGUGUUUCAGCAGCUCAGUCGAAGUACGGGAAGAAAGUGUUCGUCAUGCAGUUUUCCUUCUCGGUAAAACAGAAAAGAUCCUAAAACUUGUAAACCAGAAAGCACUUCCCAGUUUCGAUCCUGAUGGAAUGGCAUGCAUUAAUGAGUGGCGUGCAUUUCAGAAAACAAAGAAUCAGUUGCCAUUCUCUCCAUCUUCAACAGAAAAUGAAACAGCUUCUUCUGAUUUGCGGGACCUGCACUUAAACAUUGAGUAAAAAAUAUAAAACUGGAGUUAGCAAUAAAAGCAGUUUGUUAUAUGCUGAUCUUCCAGCUUUUGUUUUCUGUAAUCUGUAUACAUUUUAAGUAAAUAAUUGUAAUUAAUGUCAACAUGUAAUAUAGAUAUCUAAUCUGGAAGUGGGAACUACAUUUUGAGACAUGACAUCUCUUAUUCAGUUGCUGCAGAUUUUCAACUCUACCUACAACUUACAACAUAUUCAGCUAUCAUGUUAUAGAAUUCCAAAGCAAGAGUUGUGCAGAAAAACCCAUAUAAUACGAGGCCACAGAAAAACUCAGCACAUCCACCAGGGUUCACUGAAAGAAAAACAAAACAAGCAAAUAAAUGUCGAUCCGAUCAUGAUUCCAGGUGUUAAGUUCCUUUUGUCAAAAUGAUAAUACAAGUAAAUAAAUCUGCAUUAAACAAACUUGCAAACUAUAACUAAAGCCAAGUACCAAUAGAAUCUUUGGUUAAUACGCACACCAGAAGUGGACAUGGAUAAGCAGAAUGAGUAAAAUGGCUACAUAGAAUUCCACAGGGCACAGAGAACCAAGUUCAAGAUCUCAGACGAGACCUUCAAAUGAAGCCAAAUCCAAUCGAAUUUGAUCCAUAAAAACUGUGAAAAAGAUAUUAUUGCAAAUUUAAUUACUUAGCAACAACCUUUUGUGUUGAAUCUUUUGAUAAAAACAUAAUCUUGCAACUUGUUACUGUUUAUAACAUGAAGCAUAGAAGCCUUUGAAAAUUCUACGUUGUCAGUUAAAACACAAAACUCGUAAUGUUGGUGUUAUGCUGGCAAUUCAAGGUGUUUCAAGUUUAGAAGAAGCAAUUAAG